AUCGCUUCUCGGCCUUUUGGCUAAGAUCAAAGUGUAGUGCGUACGAUCACAGUGCACUACCUUUGAGUCUUCAGCACGUUUGCGGCCUCCACGGAAGAAUUAUUGCUUUGUGGAAACAUCGUUGGCCUGAGCUUUACCUCAUCGGUGCCACGGGUUGGCCCAGCAUUGCACUGCCUCCGGGACCUGCAUCAGCCUC
rnacentral:snRNA from 1 species